AAGCGAACCUGCGAAGGCAAGCGGAUCUCUUAAAGCCGUUCUCAGUUCGGACUGUAGGCUGCAACUCGCCUACACGAAGCUGGAAUCGCUAGUAAUCGCGGAUCAGCACGCCGCGGUGAAUACGUUCCCGGGCCUUGUACACACCGCCCGUCACACCAUGAGAGUCUGUAACACCCAAAGCCGGUGGGAUAACCUUUAUAGGAGUCAGCCGUCUAAGGUAGGACAGAUGAUUAGGGUGAAGUCGUAACAAGGUAUC
rnacentral:rRNA from 1 species